rnacentral:rRNA from 1 species
AUACGGAGGGUCCAAGCGUUAUCCGGAAUCAUUGGGUUUAAAGGGUCCGCAGGCGGUCAAUUAAGUCAGAGGUGAAAGCCCAUCGCUCAACGAUGGAACGGCCUUUGAUACUGGUUGACUUGAGUUAUACGGAAGUAGAUAAAAUAAGUAGUGUAGCGGAGAAAUGCAUAGAUAUUACUUAGAAUACCGAUUGCGAAGGCAGUCUACUACGUAUAUACUGACGCUGAGGGACGAAAGCGUGGGGAGCGAACAGGAUUAGAAACCCUAGUAGUCC